UACGGAGGGGGGCUAGCGUUGUUCGGAAUUACUGGGCGUAAAGCGCGCGUAGGCGGACCUGCAAGUCGGGGGUGAAAGCCCGAGGCUCAACCUCGGAACUGCCUUCGAUACUGCGGGUCUCGGAGUCCGGGAGAGGUGAGUGGGAAUUCCUAGUGUAGAGGUGAAAUUCGUAGAUAUUAGGAAGAACACCAGUGGCGAAGGCGGGUCCUGCUGGA
rnacentral:rRNA from 1 species